CACGUAGGGUACGAGCGUUGUCCGGAAUUAUUGGGCGUAAAGAGCUCGUAGGCGGUGUGUCGCGUCGGCCGUGAAAACCUGGGGCUUAACUCUGGGCUUGCGGUCGAUACGGGCAUCACUGGAGUUCGGCAGGGGAGACUGGAAUUCCUGGUGUAGCGGUGAAAUGCGCAGAUAUCAGGAGGAACACCGGUGGCGAAGGCGGGUCUCUGGGCCGAUACUGACGCUGAGGAGCGAAAGCGUGGGGAGCGAACAGG
rnacentral:rRNA from 1 species